GGAAUAUUGGUCAAUGGACGAGAGUCUGAACCAGCCAAGUAGCGUGAAGGAUGCAGGUCCUACGGAUUGUAAACUUAUUUUAUAAGGGAAUAAAACCUCCCACGUGUGGGAGCUUGUAUGUACCUUAUGAAUAAGCAUCGGCUAACUCCGUGCCAGCAGCCGCGGUAAUACGGAGGAUGCGAGCGUUAUCCGGAUUUAUUGGGUUUAAAGGGAGCGCCGACGGGUCGUUAAGUCGGCUGUGAAAGUUUGGGGCUCAACCUUAAAAUUGCAGUUGAUACUGGCGUCCUUGAGUGCGGUUGAGGUGUGCGGAAUUCGUGGUGUAGCGGUGAAAUGCUUAGAUAUCACGAAGAACUCCGAUUGCGAAGGCAGCACACUAAGCCGUAACUGACGUUCAUGCUCGAAAGUGUGGGUAUCAAAC
rnacentral:rRNA from 1 species